AUGGAGCCAAAGGGAAAAUAUCACAAAGUGAUUUAAAACUGGGAGGAGCAAUAGGCAGAUUAAAGAUUGGGACAAAGAAAUCUUAAGUGUUUUAUUGGGCCAUUUAGAGCUACAUUACCUGUAGGCUAUUUCCUCUACAGUAUGACUCGUUCUCAAUUACACCUGCUGUGAUGAAUUGCUUCGAAGUCACAUGUCUGAAUUGAGCAGACGUCCAUUGUGCAGUGACUGUACCUACGUGCAGGAGUGUACUUCUGUGUGUAUUCAGUAAGGAGCACUCAACGGCCAACACUUAAACAUAGAUUAGAAAAAUCCUCCAGAGCGAGAGUGUUUCUUUGCUUCCUUAAGAGUUUAUUUAAGGAUUAAAACUUGGGUUUGUAGUGGUGAUUGGAACAAGGCAUGAGGUUGCAUUAGGGUAAUGAGUUGGGUUAGAAAAUGACUUUGGAGAAUUCUUGCCAUUUUUCUUUUUGGAGCAGAUUACAUUAUGAGCACGCAAUAAAUAAAACAACACAGAGUAAUGAACCCUGAACCCAUUUAAUAGUUUAAAAUUCAACCUUAAAGCAAAUUAAAUUGUUCUUUGGUUUGGUUUAAUCUGCACAUUGUUGGGAAUUACCGUGUGUGGUUUUCAAACCUUGACUGAUUUAUGCUUGAGUACGGUUGGAAGAAAUAACAAGGACACAGCGCACAUGGUUGAUAAACCAUGAAGGGAUUUGUAAGGUAAAUGCAUUAAAAAAAAAAUCAGCUUCACGUUUUAGAAAGUAUGCUUAUUGAUUAAGCUACCAUGCAGCACAUUAAAACUACUCCUACCUCAAUUCAAGGUGACAGUUUAACACCCUAAUUACUUCACAACAGGGUUUUAUUUUUUGCAGCUCUGGGGGUUUUCCAUCAAAUUAUUUCCAGUGUUAAAAGUCAUUGUUUGUAGAAAUUUUGCAGGGGAAAUUCCAUAGUUUUUCUACUAGUUUUUCUGUCAUUUAUGGCCUAGGAGUAGAAACACAGUUUGCACUAACAUUCGUUUUUUUGUAAUUAGACAGAUUCUUUAAAUAGGGCAAUUUGGCAAAAAGAAGUGAAAUCACAUUUUUUUUUAGUUUUGAAAAACUGUGAAUGUAUCUGUGGUUUUAGUUGGUAAUUCAAACUAAAGCCACAUCUAAUGAGUUGAGCCAAAACCUAUGGCUUGAGAUUGAAAGAGCCACUUCUCAUUAAAUUCAGGCUUUUAAAAAAAAAAAAGAAAUCUAGAUUAUAAUUGGAAUUUUCCAACAUUUUUAUUUGUACACAUUUAUACAUACGGAGUUGUAAAUUAAUAAAAUUAUGCUAGAUUUGUUAUGACUGUUUGCACCAUCAACAAAGCAGUUUGGUCUCUGUUAAACUGUUGCUAUCAAACAGUUGGAGACAAACAACAAGGUGCAAUAUUGAAAACUUUUAAGUUAUUUUUACUUUUAUUCUGUCCAAUUUAAGCCAAAACCAAACACUAAUAAAAUCUAGGAUUAGCACUGGAAUGAGCUCACUGUCUUUAAUUUUUCUGCUGUUUACUUGAAGAUUGCCCCAUCAGGGAGUUUUAUGUGGGUCAAUGUGCCACAUAAAUCUCUGCUGAAAACUGCUGACUGCAGCUAAAAUAUUUCAAAAAUCUGUUCAUAAAAAUGUUUUUUUAGAUGUGUAGGCUGAUCAAAGAGCAGCUGGUCAGGACUGCAGGAACAUUCAAACGCAGGCUGUUGCUUUAAACAGUAUUUAUGAAUUAGGCUGUUGGAAUUAGGGCAGCUGUUUGCAUGGAUAGUGAAAUAAUUUGAUAAAUGUGUUCAACAGCACAGUACUAUAACUCCCUGACUAUAACAGAGGGAUGAAAUGCUUAGUGCUGGUGUUUCAGUUGACAUAAUAUUGACUCUGGCUAUAGAAAAUAAAUACACCUCCCUUGAUUUUUAACGAAUCAGUGAAGAACUGUUUCUUGCACUAACAGACACAGAGAGUCAAAAAUAUUAUUUUCUAAUUCCAAAUCAAGUCAGAAAGGUUUAAGGGGUGACUACAAGUUAGAUCUCAAGUCUUUUUUCCAUAGUUCAAGUCAAAUUUAAAGGCUAUAAAAACUAAAACCCUUGCCAUAUUUUUCCAGUAACACCGAUUUGCUGAAUCAAACCGUACCGUUUGUGCUUAGAGUUAAUUUUUCACAAGCAUUUAAACAUUAUUUUCAGUGCUCAAGUAGAUAAUUAUUAACAAAAAAUAAAACACAAACGAGUAAUGUUUGUGUGAUCAAAGUUACACCAUCAGUGGCACUGGAACUGCUGAGCUGGACAAAACCAGGGUCCAUUUGUCCUUUGUAUGAAGGACUGACUUGCAAAAAUUAUGUCCCUGACACUGGACAAUUGUGUUUCGACCAAACUAGUGUUUGAUUUAACAAGUGAAAGAAAAUGGACUUCAAAUCAGCUUUGAAAAAAACAAAAAAGAGCAUAUUUUUAGUGUGGCCCGGGUGAUAAAAAAACAACUUUCAGAAUUUGUGUUCCAAGGCACGGGUCAAAAAAAAAGGAAAUUAUUGGAGUGAUUUGUGUAAGGAGGGUGAAUGAACACCUUCAGGCAAAGAUUCAGAAGAGAAUGCAGUUAAAUAUGUUCCAACAACAAAGAAACCCAUAAGCACUCAAUUUGAAUAGAUGGGGUUUUAUGCUUUAUUUUAUUUUGAUUUUUACAUUUUUAAACUUUUGAAUAAUCUUCUUUGUGUUUCCUAUGCUAUAUAGUAUUGUGCUUAGGGUUAAUUAAUAGGGUUAACUGUAAGUGUGGCUGUUAUAUCUUUUUUUAUGAUGAGCUGCUUUGAGCUAUGGAUUUUCCACUGACGCUCCACUGACUAAGAUGAAGCUUGCAUCAAAUGAAGCCAUGCAAUGAGGUCCAUCAUGGAAAAGAUAAAUAAAGCAAGCUUUGCUUAUGACAGUCUGACUGUAAUUUGUAACAUCAUGGAGUCUGUUGCAAAAACGUCACUCCAUUUACAACAAGGUUGUAAGAAAUUGACUGGAUGGUUUCACCCGCUUAACUCAAGAAAUCAUUCAGAAUAGAGAUAAACAAGCGAGACUAUGCUGCACUGCAGACUCGCAUAAAAUCCCAAAAGGAACAACAAGAAAAGGAUUUGGUUAUCAGUAAGUUGCAACCAUGUCAUCAUCAGAGUUUGUCACCCAGCUAAUCAACUGUGUGCACAUUAUGACUGAAAUGGGCACAAAAUUGAAGGAAGGCUUGUGUUGAGGUUUGUGCUUCAUUUGCUCAAUUAAAAGGACGUUUUACUCUGACGGCCUGUUAUGUUAUGAAAGAGGCUUAUGUCAACCUUUACUAAUGAACGCAGUGUAUAAAAUCCUGAUUGACAAGGGCUAAUCAAUACCUUUCACUUGCUAUUAUAUAAGUAUUAGGUUGUCACUAAAAAGGAAGUAGUUAUCAGAUAAUUUCAUAGCCUUAGCACUCCCAGCUCAAUAUUAGGAACAGCCAUAACAGUAAUCUCUGAUAUAAAUCAUAAACAUUAUCUCUGGUGGACCGGUUGCCAAAAUGGUAGCAAAAUCUUAUUAAUUCAAAAUGUCACUUGAGCAGACUUUGCUCAGGUACUUAUGUGAUUAAGGGUGCAAAGUUAUUGCUAUUCCUGAAGAGUUUAUUUGAGUGUUAUCAGUCACCUAACACUAAAGCAACCAAUCACAGUCAUGAAUUGAAACAACAAAUUGCAGCAGCACAGUUUCCUCAUCCUCUUUCUCUGCUAAUCUAAUCUAGCAUCACUUAUGUGCGUACCAGACUGUAGACUAUAUAAUAAAGGGACCUACUGUCACCUCACCCAAUGAUUUGUCAUAUGCAGUUUUGAAGCCUCAUUUCAAGUAUUUGGCUACCAAGAUGUUGCUCUAUUUGGAGUGAGAGAUAAUUUAAGCUGUAUCCUACUUUCAGGUGCUACACCUGCUUCUGGAUUUAAAGUUUCCCUUCAACCAUUCAUAAUCCCCCUAUAAGAUUAUUUGAUACCUAUUUUGAUUUACAGUACAUCAUGGUUUAGCUUCAUUUUCAUGCAUGUUUGGGUCUUAAGCAACAGCUCAGCCAGGGUUCCACAUCAUUUUGAACAUGUAUACAUAUUGAGUGUUGCACUAAUGAAAUGCCAAAUAUACUGCACUUGCUCCUCUGCUAUGAAGUUAUGUAAGUGCUACAUCAAUGUCACAACAAUGACUUAGUAAUAUUACUUAUUCUCAUGCAAGGCUAUGCAGAUGCUCUGUCUACACCGAUCAAAAUUAACUCACUUAUGCAUGCUUACCUCUUGAACUGACAGCAGCUUGACAUUUUUCUGAACAAUUCAGCUAAGUCAAGUCUGACAACUUGAAGAGACAUUGAACUUUAAACCUCACUAUCUAACCUUAACCCAGUACAACAAUGUAAAUUCAACACCCUCUGUUCUGAUAGACGCACACUGUACAAAAUGGGGGACAGACCAAUAGCAACACACAUAUGUCAAAGGUGCUACAGGACUUGAGGAAUAAUGGUUAAAACGUGUCGCCUGAACCUGUAUCCUGGCGCACUCGAUAGAUUUACACAGCAUCAGUAGCUAGUCUUUUCAUUUAAACAAACUCUAUGUAAAUAGUUAACCAGCUUACAACAUCUGUCAGCAGACAAUGGCAUUUAUUUAAAGAUUGUUCCUGUGUAAACUUCCUGAACAUAAAGUACGCCUGGUCCAGUGCUUCUGCCUUUCUAUGUCCCUCAUUUCUGUCUUCUCAGGCACCAUCAAGUCCUGACCCUUGGCCAGUCACGCUAGAUCUGGUUCUACUGGUGUCAUUUCUCGCCACUGAUUUGAUAAGGUUGAGAUUAAGAGUUUUGCAAGAGUAAGGCUUUAAAGGGUUUAACAUUAAUUUAAUUGUGUUUUUUUUUUACAUCCAACAUCACACGAAUCAGAAAAAAUAAUCACCUUAAUUAUGCAAUAAAGACGUAUUGGAAAAAUGUUUUGUUAUUUAGUAUUCAAUUAAGAAGUAUAUAUUUUUUAUAAUGGCAGUCUAUUAAAAUGAAACAGCUCUUAGUGGCUAUUAGGGACAUUAAAAUUUUACAGAUUUCCACAUUGACUUUCACUUUUCACACUGAUAUCCAUCUGUUUAAUGCGGCUUAUAUUCAGCUCCUUUAAACCAGUAGCCAUUUGCCCAGAAGACGAAGAAAAUACAAUGUUGGCAGAAACACUUUCUUUGUGAUAUCCAGCACAUGUGGAAUGUGUUCUCCAAGCUGCCUGCAGGCAGAAUAUGAAAUAAUAAAUUAAUAUGUUUAUACUUAGGUGGUAUCCUUGAGUAUGUCUCAAAGGGAGUUUUAUCCUGACUCUAAGUUCAAGUAAAAUACAUGAAACAGGGAAAAUUGAGCUUAUAAAUAAACUUACUGCACUGGAUUUGCAAAAUUCAGCUGUGCUCAUAUGUUUGUGUGUGCACACAAAUUAUAGAAUUAUUCAGAGCUAAAAUUGAAUAAAAGUUUCAAGCAAUAAAUUGUAUAAAUCACUUAAAUUUCCUACUUUAAAAAGUGCCUUAAACGCAUCUGUGGAGCAGCUCCGCCUCAGGAUCUGCUGUACAAAUUCAACUACCCCUUCGUCAAAAAGGCCAUGCAACAGUCUAUAGUUGGCAUGACUGACAGAAUUAUCAGCCAAUUAAAAUUGACACACAAUUACGGUCCGUCCCACAGGCCCAGCUACUGACAGCUCAAGCAUGAAGAGGUGAUGGAGUUCAGCAACAUUUCUUCUUGGUGGGGAUACUCUCUCACUCUCUCACAUGAGCACUCCUUGGAAACUUCAGAAAUAAUGAGGUAAAAUUUAUCUGAGUACAUGGUGAAGCACUUUGAAGCUGUUCCUGCAGGUCAGAGCUGCUCAUCCUCAUUUCCCAUCCUGCAGGAUGAAGGAGCUGGUACUGAUUAAACUGGAGGGGACUUCAUGGAGGUCCUUAUGCUGUUCACAUCCUCACGUCAUUCAGUGAAAAAUGAAUGGUUGCUCUCUUAAAAACUGGUGAGGUGUUCUUUGACCUCCAUGUCUCUAGCUCUUACUGUGUGUGUGCAUGAGUGAGGGUGGCUGUAUUUCAAUGCAAUGACAUUGAGGAGCAGUAUGGAGCUGUAUAAAGCAGAAAAAAGGAAGAAGCAGAUCAUUAACUGGUGGGCUUUCUGCCACUGCUGCAUUACCAGCUCUUCAGUCUUAAGGUAGGGUCUCAAGGAUAAAAGUUCACUUGCAGGCUGAUGACAAUAAAUGUCAUUGUCACCUAAAAGCUUGCUGUAGGUCAUUGUGGGUCAUGCUAUGUGAGGAGCUUUGAGAUAGAUUAUAUAUGGAGGAGUGAAGAGGCAUAAAUUUCAAAUCAGACUCGGCAUGCAAAGUUAUUAGGUGCUGUUAUAAACAAAGUUAAAUUUUGUCAUUGCCUGAUAUGGAAAAUAUACAUUGAACUGUACAGAUCCUGUAUCUGUCUGGUUCUAGAUUACAGUAUAGAGCAGGAGUCUGGGAUUUUAUU